ACAUGCAAGUCGUGCGAGAAAGUAUCUUCGGAUAUGAGUAGAGCGGCGGACGGGUGAGUAACGCGUAGGAAUCUACCUAGUAGAAGGGGAUAGCCCGGGGAAACCCGGAUUAAUACCGUAUACCUCCUUCGGGAGAAAGAAGGCCUCUCUUUGAAGCUUUCGCUAUUAGAUGAGCCUGCGUAAGAUUAGCUUGUUGGUGAGGUAAAGGCUCACCAAGGCAACGAUCUUUAGCUGGUCUGAGAGGACGAUCAGCCACAUUGGGACUGAGACACGGCCCAGACUCCUACGGGAGGCAGCAGUGGGGAAUAUUGGACAAUGGGCGCAAGCCUGAUCCAGCCAUACCGCGUGUGUGAAGAAGGCCUUAGGGUUGUAAAGCACUUUAAGCAGGGAGAAAAAGUUAUAAGUUAAUACCUUAUAACCGUGAUGUUACCUGCAGAAUAAGCACCGGCUAAUUCCGUGCCAGCAGCCGCGGUAAUACGGAAGGUGCAAGCGUUAAUCGGAAUUACUGGGCGUAAAGCGCGCGUAGGUGGUUUGUUAAGUUGGAUGUGAAAGCCCUGGGCUCAACCUAGGAACUGCAUCCAAAACUAACUCACUAGAGUACGAUAGAGGGAGGUAGAAUUCAUAGUGUAGCGGUGGAAUGCGUAGAUAUUAUGAAGAAUACCAGUGGCGAAGGCGGCCUCCUGGAUCUGUACUGACACUGAGGUGCGAAAGCGUGGGUAGCGAACAGGAUUAGAUACCCUGGUAGUCCACGCCGUAAACGAUGACAACUAGCUGUUGGAAGACAAUGUCUUUCAGUGGCGCAGCUAACGUUUUAAGUUGUCCGCCU
rnacentral:rRNA from 1 species